ACCCAUUAAGCUGUUUACAGAUUUUAAACGUCCUUCUAAAAAAUCAGCUCAUGAAUUCUUGUGACAGGAGAACAGAUUGGAAAAAAAAAAAAAAAAAAAGUUAUUUCAAAGAUUUUAGGAAUACUUAACAUUGUCAAUAUGCCAUCUAAUUUUAUUUCUGAUUUAAUAUUGAUCCUUCAACAUACACUUAUUGUACUAGAAAUGGAAAUUAUAUAUGAUGGAAAGGCUUUGCUGCUGAGUUCCUCUCUGAAAACAUCAGAGCAACUUAGUCAACAGAUAUUUUAGUUAAAUCCUGAUCAAAUGACAGAGAACGCCCACUGUACUUGGCACCUAUUGCCACUAUUAAUCAAGACUGCCUUUUCUAGAUAUGCAGUACAAAUGGUAUGAGAAGCAUAUAGGGUAAUGAAGAGGUAGCUUUAAAAACCAUGCCUGAUUGCAAAGGCAGAAUUACUCCAGGUUCUCUGUGUUCAUGUAAUAGAAUAAUGCCUCUCAUAUGUGGGUCAUCUGUAGACUCCAGCACCUGGGUAUAACACUUUCAUUUUUGGUUCUGUGAUUGUGUAUUUCCCCAAGUGGCUGUGUUAACCCAUGAUAGGUUUCUUUUCCUGUUUAUAAGGACGUUUUCAGACUCCGUUAUGAAUUUACCAGUAGACGUUGUUAAUUUUUGCUACUGUUUAAAGUGAAGAGCUUUCCCUUCUCAUGUCCUUUCAACACAGUUGUACUUUGCUCCAAAUACAGUACAGCUAUGACCCAAUUUAUAGCCCUAGGUAGUUUUUGUGGUAUUAUGGUACUCUUCCAAGAGCACGCAGGCUCAUGAGUUUAUAGGGGAUGUGUUUCCUUACAUUAGCAUGCAACUCUGUUGUUACAAUAACAUGAUUUCUGCACUCGUUUUUUGUGCUUUCAUGUUUACAUUGGAGAAUGUUCAAACUUCUCCUGCAGAUGCAGUAUAUUUAAGAGCCACCAAACUUCAUCUGCUAGAACUUCAUCCCCCUUCUACAUCCUACACCUCAGGAAGCUGCCACUGGAAGCUGUGCCACUGUCCACUUGUUGAGCCAAGCAUCUCAGAGUAAACAUAAUGAGAGCAAACCAGGAUUUGUGCCAGCAGCUUGUGAGCAUGCAAGCAGUGAUCUAUUCAUACAAAGAGUAUAUUUCAGUGCAAGGGCUUCUCUACCCAAGACAUUAACAGAGAUUAUGAAGGCAGAGCAAGAUGUCUUAUAAGUGGAAGACAGUUGAUUUUUUUAAGACUCAGUAGCUUUAGGGUUUCCUCAAUAUUCUAAAUUGGAAUAGCUAUUUCAGGGCAUGCUACAAGGUUCAGUCCUUCUAUGCUCCCCAAAAUUUGAAAAAAAAAAAAAAAAAAGUGCUUCCAGAAAUUAGGUAACUCUAAUGUUUAGUUUGCCAGGCUUGAUGCCACUGGAGAAUAUUUCUGGACAUUAUCUGUUUUCUUAUUUCAGACUUUUUCUGUUACAUCAUGACCCACAAAAGCUAUUGAAAAACACAUCUCCUUUCUGAACCAUUUGAUGGUGAAUUAUGCAUUUCUGAAAUAUUCCAAGGUUAUAAGGAAAUGGCUUUAGUUCACAAGGCUGAAGCAGCUCCAUCCAAAUUUACAUCUUACAAAAAGCAAAGAAAUCACCCUUCCAGAAUAAAUAAAUAAAUAAAUUUAAAGAUGAAUCUACA
rnacentral:lncRNA from 1 species